CAACUGCACCACCCGGCUGCAUAGGCUGCAGGUGCGGAGCAGCCCGCAUUCAGGAAGCGUCUCUCUAUCUAUAAAUAAUCGAAGCGUCAGCUCCCUUGUCUCUCUGAUUCUUCGUAAUCUUGGAGUCCUCUUUCCAUUCUCUCUUGUCGGAGCUAUUUCUAUCUACCUCCAUCGGUUGAUGGCAUCCCAAGCUAGCCUUCUCCUUCAAAAGCAGCUAAAAGAUCUUUGCAAAAACCCCGUCGACGGGUUCUCCGCUGGUUUAGUAGAUGAAAACAACAUAUUCGAAUGGAGUGUCACGAUAAUUGGACCUCCCGAUACUCUUUAUGAGGGGGGAUUCUUCAACGCUAUAAUGAGUUUUCCAUCAAAUUACCCGAACAGCCCGCCAUCAGUGAAAUUCACUUCAGAGAUAUGGCAUCCAAAUGUAUAUCCUGAUGGACGGGUUUGCAUAUCAAUUCUUCAUCCUCCUGGUGAGGAUCCGAAUGGAUAUGAACUUGCAAGUGAGCGCUGGACACCUGUUCAUACAGUAGAAAGUAUAGUUUUGAGUAUCAUUUCUAUGCUUUCUAGUCCCAAUGAUGAAUCUCCAGCAAAUGUCGAAGCUGCUGUCAAUGGAAGAGAACCAAAAGAGAUGGUUUCUUCUUCUGCUGCUGUGUGGAAAGGGAGGGUUAAGCCCAUGCAUUAAUUCAACUUCAGGGAGACAGAUGUCCCAGGUACAAAGCCAUCAAGCAAAGGGGCCAAUAUACUCAGUCUGAUGCAAACCCGCUGGGAAGAAUUUAUCAGACCAGUAAUUCGACUUCAAAAAUUGUGUACAUCUACUUUCUUAUGAUGUGAAGGAGUGGAGAGACAGGAGAGACGAUUUCAAGAAGAAGGUUAGCCGCUGUGUGAGGAAGUCACAAGAAAUGUUGUGAUUCAUUUACCAGCGCCUGAUCCUGCUUAUUGUGAACUGGAGGACAUGACUUAAUCAAUGUGUAAUGGAUUGGUUCACCUGUUACUGCGGUUGAUCCGUCUAGAAUGCCAUUGGAUUUGGAAGUUGUCAACAUACAUCUUUCUUCAGUUCCGUUUUGUUUAUUCUCUACACGGCCGCUUGUCAUGACUUGGAAAAAACAAAUGUAUUAAAAGUGCUUUGGCUGGUGUUUGGGGUGACUAGUUUAUUGGAAGAUUACUUUGUUCAUUUCCAUAACCUUAUUCUUAAAUUGAGUUUAGGUACCACCAAGUUUUGUCUUUUGCUGGAAAUUGUUACUCAGUGACUUGCUAUCAUUCCCCUUCCCCCCCCGGGGUGUUCCAUCUCAAACUGUCGCAUGCUUAUAAAAAGAAACUGUAUAUUUCCCUUUCUUCAA